AUACGGAGGGGGUUAGCGUUGUUCGGAAUUACUGGGCGUAAAGCGCACGUAGGCGGAUUGGAAAGUUGGGGGUGAAAUCCCAGGGCUCAACCCUGGAACUGCCUCCAAAACUAACAGUCUAGAGUUCGAGAGAGGUGAGUGGAAUUCCAAGUGUAGAGGUGAAAUUCGUAGAUAUUUGGAGGAACACCAGUGGCGAAGGCGGCUCACUGGCUCGAUACUGACGCUGAGGUACGAAAGCGUGGGGAGCAAACAGGAUUAGAAACCCUAGUAGUCC
rnacentral:rRNA from 1 species